GACGAACGCUGGCGGCGUGCUUAACACAUGCAAGUCGAGCGGUAAGGCCCUUUCGGGGGUACGACGAGCGGCGAACGGGUGAGUAACACGUGGGUGACCUGCCCUCAGCUCUGGGAUAAGCCUGGGAAACCGGGUACUAAUACCGGAUAUGACUCCAUGACGCAUGUUGUGGGGUGGAAAGCCUUGUGCGGCUGAGGAUGGGCCCGCGGCCUAUCAGCUUGUUGGUGGGGUGAUGGCCUACCAAGGCGACGACGGGUAGCCGGCCUGAGAGGGCGACCGGCCACACUGGGACUGAGACACGGCCCAGACUCCUACGGGAGGCAGCAGUGGGGAAUCUUGCGCAAUGGGCGAAAGCCUGACGCAGCGACGCCGCGUGA
rnacentral:rRNA from 1 species